AUAUAGGGCAAGGGCCCUUAUGGCUUCCAUGGCCUUAGGCACACAUUUCAAAGCUGCCCCAACUGUAGGACUUUGGCUCAUGGACCUAGUGCAGGUCUGCUUUCUUUCUAUCCCCUUUGAAACUUUUCCAUAAUCAGUGCCCUUGGCCCUGACACACUGGGGUUCAUAGCUAAAUUAUCCUUGUUCCAUGAGCCAUGUCUGAUACGCUGCUCUGGCUUCAGCCUGUUUAUCUUGGUAAACACUGCAAUCUGGGCCACACCUCUAGUCACGAGGAGCCAGGCUUUCAGUCAGCUAGCUCUGCAUAAAGAGUUACCUGCCACCCCUCCCCCACCUUGGGGUUCCUGCACAGUCACAUUACAGGUGAAUGCAAGAACCACUUUGCUGUUAUGAAGUCUGCAUUGCUGCCAGUGUCUUCUUAGAGGAUGGGAGCUGGUGCCUGUGGCUCGGCAGCAAGAAGAAACCUGGGGCUUAUUCAGUCGAAAAUGGCCAAGGCAGCUUCCAAACACGUCAGCCAAGCCAGGGUCAUGCAUCGAACUUGUGAAAAGAGGAGAAAGCAACGUGAUGACGAAAACUGGAGUGAUGUGGCCACAAGGAAUGCCAAGAGCCACCAGAAGCUGGAGCAAUCAAGGAAGGAUUCUCCCCUGGAGUCUCCAGAGGUAACAUGGCCCUUCUGAAACCUAGAGCUGUGAGGGCAUACAUUCCUGUUGUUUUAUGGCACCAAGCUUUUAGUAAUUUGUUACAGCAGCCACAGGAAACUAACACAGACUGUUGCCUGUAACUCUGAGAAAUUUUUGUCAAAAAGGAUGGCUUCAGCAGUGAGGAGGGAGGAUGAAAGAAAUAAGUGAGGGAGGUUAAGGACAAACUUCCAGUUACAAAAUAAAUGUCACCAGUAUAAAAUGUACAGUGUGGGGAAUACAGUCAAUAAUAGUGUAAUAUCUUUGUAUGGUGACAAAUAGUAACUAGAUUUAUCAUGGUGAUCGUUUUGUUAGGUAUAGAAAUACUGAUCACUAUAUUUCACACUAGGAACACACACAGUGUUGCAGGUCAAAACCCAACAAAUAUACAAACUUAUAGACAAAGAGAUAUGAUUUGUGGUUACUAGAGGCGGAGGUUGUGGGGCAGGGAAAUUGGAUGAAGCUGAUCAAAAUUACGAACGUCCUGAAGUUCCCACUGUGGUGCAAUGGGAUUGGUGGUGUCUCUGCAGUGCCUGGACACAGGUUCAA